UUAAGUUAAUAAGGGCGCACGGUGGAUGCCUUGGCACUAGAAGCCGAUGAAGGACGUGACUAACGACGAAAUGCUUUGGGGAGCUGUAAGUGAGCAAUGAUCCAGAGAUGUCCGAAUGGGGGAACCCGGCAGGUAAUGCCUGUCACUCAUUACUGUUAAGGUAAUGUAGAGGAAGACGCAGUGAACUGAAACAUCUAAGUAGCUGCAGGAAGAGAAAGCAAAAGCGAUUGCCUUAGUAGCGGCGAGCGAAACGGCAAGAGGGCAAACCGAAGAGUUUACUCUUCGGGGUUGUAGGACUGCAACGUGGACUUAAAGAUUAUAGAAGAACUACCUGGGAAGGUAGGCCAAAGAGAGUAAUAGCCUCGUAUUCGAAAUAGUCUUUAUACCUAGCAGUAUCCUGAGUACGGCGAGACACGAGAAAUCUCGUCGGAAUCUGGGAGGACCAUCUCCCAACCCUAAAUACUCUCUAGUGACCGAUAGUGAACCAGUACCGUGAGGGAAAGGUGAAAAGCACCCCGGGAGGGGAGUGAAAUAGAACCUGAAACCGUGUGCCUACAACAAGUUCGAGCCCGUUAAUGGGUGAGAGCGUGCCUUUUGUAGAAUGAACCGGCGAGUUACGAUAUGAUGCGAGGUUAAGUUGAAGAGACGGAGCCGUAGGGAAACCGAGUCUUAAUAGGGCGUAUUAGUAUCAUGUCGUAGACCCGAAACCAUGUGACCUACCCAUGAGCAGGUUGAAGGUGAGGUAAAACUCACUGGAGGACCGAACCAGGGCACGUUGAAAAGUGCUUGGAUGACUUGUGGGUAGCGGAGAAAUUCCAAACGAACUUGGAGAUAGCUGGUUCUCUCCGAAAUAGCUUUAGGGCUAGCGUCGAUGUUAAGUCUCUUGGAGGUAGAGCACUGUUUGGGUGAGGGGUCCAUCCCGGAUUACCAAUCUCAGAUAAACUCCGAAUGCCAACGAGAUAUAAUCGGCAGUCAGACUGCGAGUGCUAAGAUCCGUAGUCGAAAGGGAAACAGCCCAGACCACCAGCUAAGGUCCCAAAAUAUAUGUUAAGUGGAAAAGGAUGUGGGGUUGCACAGACAACUAGGAUGUUAGCUUAGAAGCAGCUAUUCAUUCAAAGAGUGCGUAAUAGCUCACUAGUCGAGUGACCCUGCGCCGAAAAUGUACCGGGGCUAAAACAUAUUACCGAAGCUGUGGAUACCUUUAUAGGUAUGGUAGGAGAGCGUUCUAUGUGCGAAGAAGGUGUACCGUGAGGAGUGCUGGAGCGCAUAGAAGUGAGAAUGCCGGUAUGAGUAGCGAAAGACAGGUGAGAAUCCUGUCCACCGUAAGACUAAGGUUUCCAGGGGAAGGCUCGUCCGCCCUGGGUUAGUCGGGACCUAAGGAGAGACCGAAAGGUGUAUCCGAUGGACAACAGGUUGAUAUUCCUGUACUAGAGUAUAUAGUGAUGGAGGGACGCAGUAGGCUAACUAAACCAGACGAUUGGAAGUGUCUGGCCAAGCAGUGAGGUGUGAUAUGAGUCAAAUGCUUAUAUCUAUAACAUUGAGCUGUGAUGGGGAGCGAAGUUUAGUAGCGAAGUUAGUGAUGUCACACUGCCGAGAAAAGCUUCUAGCGUUAAUUAUACUCUACCCGUACCGCAAACCGACACAGGUAGUCGAGGCGAGUAGCCUCAGGUGAGCGAGAGAACUCUCGUUAAGGAACUCGGCAAAAUGGCCCCGUAACUUCGGGAGAAGGGGCGCUGACUUAUGGUCAGCCGCAGUGAAUAGGCCCAAGCAACUGUUUAUCAAAAACACAGCUCUCUGCUAAAUCGUAAGAUGAUGUAUAGGGGGUGACGCCUGCCCGGUGCUGGAAGGUUAAGAGGAGUGCUUAGCAAUAGCGAAGGUAUGAAUUGAAGCCCCAGUAAACGGCGGCCGUAACUAUAACGGUCCUAAGGUAGCGAAAUUCCUUGUCGGGUAAGUUCC
rnacentral:rRNA from 1 species